rnacentral:lncRNA from 1 species
AGCUUAAUCAAAUUCAAAAAAAUCUCAAAGAAAUUUCAAAAAAAUAAUAAGAAUUCUUAAAAAAAUAUUAGAAGGAUCACAAAUAUCACUCAAAUACAUCUCAAUUCAAUCUUAAUUUAAUUCUAGUUAAAAUCCUAUUGAACUUCAUUCAAACUUUAGGCCAAAACUAAUUGAAUCUUAAAUCCUAAUAAAAUCCUAAAUCCUAAAUCAAACCUUAAAUAAAUCUUAAAUAAAAUCUCAACCAAAUCCUAAAUCAAAUC